AGUUUGAUCCUGGCUCAGAUUGAACGCUGGCGGCAGGCCUAACACAUGCAAGUCGAACGGUAACAGGAAACAGCUUGCUGUUUCGCUGACGAGUGGCGGACGGGUGAGUAAUGUCUGGGAAACUGCCUGAUGGAGGGGGAUAACUACUGGAAACGGUAGCUAAUACCGCAUAACGUCGCAAGACCAAAGAGGGGGACCCUCGGGCCUCUUGCCAUCGGAUGUGCCCAGAUGGGAUUAGCUUGUUGGUGGGGUAACGGCUCACCAAGGCGACGAUCCCUAGCUGGUCUGAGAGGAUGACCAGCCACACUGGAACUGAGACACGGUCCAGACUCCUACGGGAGGCAGCAGUGGGGAAUAUUGCACAAUGGGCGCAAGCCUGAUGCAGCCAUGCCGCGUGUAUGAAGAAGGCCUUCGGGUUGUAAAGUACUUUCAGCGGGGAGGAAGGGAGUAAAGUUAAUACCUUUGCUCAUUGACGUUACCCGCAGAAGAAGCACCGGCUAACUCCGUGCCAGCAGCCGCGGUAAUACGGAGGGUGCAAGCGUUAAUCGGAAUUACUGGGCGUAAAGCGCACGCAGGCGGUUUGUUAAGUCAGAUGUGAAAUCCCCGGGCUCAACCUGGGAACUGCAUCUGAUACUGGCAAGCUUGAGUCUCGUAGAGGGGGGUAGAAUUCCAGGUGUAGCGGUGAAAUGCGUAGAGAUCUGGAGGAAUACCGGUGGCGAAGGCGGCCCCCUGGACGAAGACUGACGCUCAGGUGCGAAAGCGUGGGGAGCAAACAGGAUUAGAUACCCUGGUAGUCCACGCCGUAAACGAUGUCGACUUGGAGGUUGUGCCCUUGAGGCGUGGCUUCCGGAGCUAACGCAUUAAGUCGACCGCCUGGGGAGUACGGCCGCAAGGUUAAAACUCAAAUGAAUUGACGGGGGCCCGCACAAGCGGUGGAGCAUGUGGUUUAAUUCGAUGCAACGCGAAGAACCUUACCUGGUCUUGACAUCCACGGAAGUUUUCAGAGAUGAGAAUGUGCCUUCGGGAACCGUGAGACAGGUGCUGCAUGGCUGUCGUCAGCUCGUGUUGUGAAAUGUUGGGUUAAGUCCCGCAACGAGCGCAACCCUUAUCCUUUGUUGCCAGCGGUCCGGCCGGGAACUCAAAGGAGACUGCCAGUGAUAAACUGGAGGAAGGUGGGGAUGACGUCAAGUCAUCAUGGCCCUUACGACCAGGGCUACACACGUGCUACAAUGGCGCAUACAAAGAGAAGCGACCUCGCGAGAGCAAGCGGACCUCAUAAAGUGCGUCGUAGUCCGGAUUGGAGUCUGCAACUCGACUCCAUGAAGUCGGAAUCGCUAGUAAUCGUGGAUCAGAAUGCCACGGUGAAUACGUUCCCGGGCCUUGCACACACCGCCCGUC
rnacentral:rRNA from 1 species